GGGGAAUUAGCUCAAAUGGUAGAGUGCUCGCUUAACAUGCGAGAGGUAGUAGUAUCGAUGCCUGCAUUCUCCA
rnacentral:tRNA from 1 species